UGUAGAACACAUUACACAGAAUACCUUGCUGAACUAGUAAGGAAGUAUGAUGUAGACCCUCUUCCAGUUUUCACCACUGAGGAGAUGGAACUUUUAUUGAAGCAAUCUGGGAUUCCUCUACCAUUACGAUUAUGGCGUGACAAAGAGGAAAAGUAUCGAAAAAAGUUGAUUGAGAAUGUUGAGAACGAGCUUCCACUCCGAAAGUUUCGAUGAAUAUGCUUUUUUAGGACAGGUAGCCGUUCUGUAUCUUUUUGUUUGACUUUUUCAUUAGUAAAGAAUGUAAAACUUAUAUACGAAACUUAUGUACAAGGAAGUAGUCCACAAUGGGGUGUUUUGAUAAUUUUAAUUAUAAAUAAAUAGCUACUUUUACAAACUACAAAAUAUAGUUUCUAAACAUUAUGAACAAUAAUACAUUUUUUUCUAUACUGCUGGUUAUUCUAUAGCAAUUGAAUGUAAUUUGGGUUUCAUUAGUGUAUAUUUAAAUACCAGAAUUACAUGCCUAAUGAAAAACAACAAACUAACCUGUUGUUUAAACAUUUUAUGUGUAAUAAAUGUAGACUUAUCUGUAAUAAAGUUGUAUAUUUUUCAAAAUA